ensembl:lncRNA
ACUUUAUUUCAUACAUAGUGCUAAUUCAAAGUGCUUUCCAAAAAAAGUAUAUUUGAAAAAGAUAUAGUUCCAAAAAGGUUAAAAAAAAAAUAAUGAAAAUACUGUACGAUAAAAAUUGAAAAGUUGAAGAAAAAGGAAAAAAUAAAACAAAAGUAAAUGUUAAAAGGAAUGUGAGAAACAUUUAUAGUAUCAUUCACAAAAUUGUCAACAACUGCCAACAAAAUCUUACAUUUUUGUUUUCGUGUUUUAAUUUUGGUAGCAUAGUAUUGGAAAUAUUCAACAUUGUUUUAUUUGAGUCUCUCGUGUUUCAUCAGCAAGGUUCAGACGGUAAGAUGUCUUACAGUUUGAUCUAUUCCAUGCAAUAUUACAGUUCUAAUAUUGCUACCAGACAGCUAAUCUGUAUUUUUUCACUUGCAUUUUGCAUUUGCCAUGUUAAUUUUGUAUACGGAGUAUACCCAAGUGGGUGGAAAACUGAGUAGAGGUCAGUGGUUACAAGCAGGCAGUGUGGGUUUAGUCUUGAGGGCUCUGCAACAGAUGGAAGACUACUGUCAGAGGAGCCAUGGUAUCUGAUAUAGGUAGAGGAUUGUGUCAUUGCUCAACCCUUUUAAUCAUUUCUGCAUGAGCAAACAUGAAUUCUACUUGUCCAUCUCAAUGUGAACCCACAACAUAAGAAAGGCAGUGGAUGGGAGCACGAAAUAAAAACAGAAAGCUUCAGAUGUCAAUAGAAUAUCUUUAUUAUAGGUUAAAAGGGGGAAUGUCCUUGUAUAAGUCAGAAAAUGUGUUUUAGUUAAAUAAAAUAAAAACUACCUAAUACCCAUAUAAUUAAACAUUAGGCACUUAAUCUAUCAGAAUAUUUAUUCUUCAUCUUGUUUCAUUGUUUUCUAAUUAUUUACUGCCUUAUUCACUGCCUAUUAAUAAGUAUAGUUUUUUUUCUUCCAUAAAGGCACGUAUCAUCUUCGACAAGAUCUCAGCCAAUUUUAGUCUGGCUCUCCCAGGCUCUGAGCAUUUGUCUAGGCUGGGAUCUCUUGUGAGUGGAGUAAAGGUGGAGACUCUGUGGACUUUACCAACUGAUAUUCUGCUAGAAGCGUUACCUGCUAUGAGCCUUCAGACACCUGGGCUCACCCCCCCACAGGUCAACACUAUCAUCUCCAAACUCUGGGUAAGAAACUCCACUCUUUUUCUCUUUAGGCCUCUGAACAUGAAUAUCUCAUAUUGGAGUAUCAGUUGAGAGAAACAGCUGUAAAUCCAUAAUUAAAAGAGCUUCAAGUAUUAACACCAAGACUGGAUAUACAUAACCAUAUGUAAAUCAAAUUCCAUUGUUGGACAAGAUGAGAAGCAAAAGCACCCCUUCAGUGGAAUAGAAGAAUUUCUGGGUUUGAAUAUCUCUUUAAGUGUCACAUAAUAUUACAAAAAUGGAUAGUCAUUUCACCAGAUGCAUGCUGAUCUUGAAUAUGCAACUGCUCAGGAAAUGAAUGUGAAUUUCUUCUUCCAUGCUUUCAGGGUUCUAGUUCUGUGUCCCAGUGGAUGGAUAAAGUCAAUCCUUUGCUCUCUAGCACUCCACUCCUCAGUGUGAUCGCCCAAGUCCCUCAGCUGCUGAUCAGAGACACUGCUGUACACACUCGCCUCUGGAACACACAGCAGGUAUCGUCUAGUCCAGCCAUACACACUUCAUUUAUCAACCACAAUAACAGUACAAUUAUAGUUUUUUGAUAAUAUUAUAUAC